rnacentral:rRNA from 1 species
GAUGAACGCUGGCGGCGUGCCUAAUACAUGCAAGUCGAGCGAACGGACGAGAAGCUUGCUUUUCUGAUGUUAGCGGCGGACGGGUGAGUAACACGUGGAUAACCUACCUAUAAGACUGGGAUAACUUCGGGAAACCGGAGCUAAUACCGGAUAAUAUUUUGAACCGCAUGGUUCAAAAGUGAAAGACGGUCUUGCUGUCACUUAUAGAUGGAUCCGCGCUGCAUUAGCUAGUUGGUAAGGUAACGGCUUACCAAGGCAACGAUGCAUAGCCGACCUGAGAGGGUGAUCGGCCACACGGGAACUGAGAAACGGUCCAGACUCCUACGGGAGGCCGCAGUAGGGAAUCUUCCGCAAUGGGAGAAAGCCUGACGGAGCAACGCCGCGUGAGUGAUGAAGGUCUUCGGAUCGUAAAACUCUGUUAUUAGGGAAGAACAUAUGUGUAAGUAACUGUGCACAUCUUGACGGUACCUAAUCAGAAAGCCACGGCUAACUACGUG